rnacentral:lncRNA from 1 species
GAGAAAUGUAGUCUAGCCUGAACAAGAUUUGUGGGUAAGUUAGUCACCCCACUAUGCUAGGCAACUGAGUCUCUCUGUUUUUGUCUCUUUGAAUGUUUUUUUUCUGGUUCACUCCUCUGAGCUAUGCACCUGUGUACAAAGGAAUCUCUGUAUGAUCAUUGGAACAUGUCUCAGGUGUGUAUCCUAUCUCUUUAAAAUAAAAAAAAAAUAAAAUAAAAUAAAAAUCUUUUCUGGAUCAUAUAUAUAUAUAUAUAUAUAUAUAUAUAUAUAUAUAUAUUUUCAAAUUUGUCUGUAUUUUCUCGACAGUUCUUGGAUUAGCCGUGGUUGUCUCUGUCAGUGUCUUAGUUGAUGUGCUGUGUUUUCUUAAUCCAUUAUGUUAAGUCUAGAUUUUUUGUCCAACUGGGC